ensembl:lncRNA
AAUAUUCCUGCCAGGGUCAAAUUUCACAACUGCUCACUUUGGUGUUAGUCAUUGGUAUGGAAACCACGAUUUGCAAAUAUGCAAAUGACUUUGCCUUCUAUGAAAUUGUGAAGGGCAUGGCGACACCGAGAGAAAUGCCAGAGAACUGGGUCCCUCAUGAUUAAGAUCCACAUCCUUUCCCAGAUCACAAAGCCAGAAAAAGAACCAGCCAUUCAUUGUGUGUUUUUCAAGACAGGAAAGCAAUGAGCAUGUCCAACGAACCACUGAGCAUAAUUGUUUCCUAACACCCCAGAGGGUUUCUUUAUCCCAAUACUGAGCGACCUUUACGCAAAUGCAAGUCAUGUGUGAGACAAGGGCCUGCUCUGAAACAUGCAUUAGAAGACUCACAAAGCCUUUGUGUGAAUCCACCCAUGCAGCAAAUAGAACAACGGCAGGUUUUUCCUUAUAGCGCACCAUCAGAAGAGCCAUGUCAGUGUCAGCCUGUCUAGGUCUAGGCUAUCUUCCCUCGGCACAACCAUUGCCACCUCUAUUACCCUGUGCUGUCAGGGUCAACAGUCAAAGGCACCUCUGUUCAUUCCUCUGUGCCACCGUGGUCCCCCAUUAUGUGUUGCUGGGACCCAGUUUCAGUCCAGGCCAUUUGUCACGUCCAACGAAUAACCCACAAUCACUUAAAGUCAAAAGAGGCAUUGUGCAUGGUUGGUUAGCAGUGACGAUCAAUGGAACUUUCUGGAAUGGUGUUCAAUGGGACAGGGUAUUGAUGCCAUAUCUGUUCGACUUUCUUCUCAACCCUCUUCUCAUUUUAAUAAGAAAUUAGUGUUUCAAGCAUGUACUAAUGUGCUUUGUCAGUGCACAGACUGAGCUUUAAGUAAUCAUCACAGUGUUGACCUUGGGUGCAUUAUUGAAUUUUUUCAGGUAAACAUGAUAUACAAGUGCAAUCUGUCAGUGUGACCUUUUUAAAAGAUUUGUUUUUCAGUUUAUUUUCAGAAGCAUUCAUGUUAUACCAAGAAAAACAUCAGGAAUAAAAUCAAUAUUUUGCAUCCA